rfam:Triticum aestivum genome assembly, contig: Triticum_aestivum_CS42_TGACv1_scaffold_080510_1DS
CCCAUACUCCCUCUGUCCGAAAAAGCUUGUUUCUCAAAUGGAUGUAUCUAGCACUAUUCUAGCAUCAAAUUAGUGCUAGAUACAUCCAUUUGAGAAACAAGCCUGGGACAAACUUUUUCGGAUGGAGGGAGUACCUC